UUGACGUUUUAUCUUCCCAAACUAGAUAGAGACAGGGUUGAUUCCUCCCGCUCCGAAUCUCAUCCUCCUCAGUCCUCACCAGCAAAGCAAGGGGACGUGAAAACAAGCAAACCAAAAUGAGAUUCAACUUCGACUUAACAGAAUCAAACCCAAACUCUUCUUCUCGAAAAUCCCUAACUCCCAAAGAAGAUACCCAAUGGGUCCCACUCCAAAACCACCCGCUCUUCGCUUCCUCCUACGAAGACACCGCGCCUCGAUCACCAUCUAAUCUACUAGCUUGGGACGGCGCUUCUAGAUUUUACUAUUGGGAUUCAAACCUCCGUUGCCUCCAUCGAAUUUCAAUUCGGCUCGGCGAUCCCGAACCUUCCUCUGUCCUCGCUGCCUCUCUUUCUAAGGUACUGCAAACUGAUGCGGAGAUUAAUUUUGAGGUUAAUAAAAUUUCUAUAAAUAGAAAUGGCUCUGCGAUGGUUCUCUCCGGCACCAAUGGUUUAUGUGUUAUGUAUCUCUAUGGACGCUCUUUUGGUAAAGAUAACGCCAUUGUUUGCAGGACCGUGUCCAUUGGUUCACAAAUUUAUUUCAAUGAGAGCAAUGCAAUAGAGACGCGAAGAGUUUCGUGGCAUCCUUACAGUGAUACGCAUUUAGGAAUUCUUUCUUCUGAUUCAGUUUUCCGAUUGUUUGACUUGUCUUCAGAUGUCCUGAAGCCAGAGCAGGAAUAUUAUCUACAGCCAGUUGAACCAGGUAGAUCCAGGAAUGCUGCAUCAAUCUGUCCUGUUGAUUUUUCUUUUGGGGGCUAUCACUUGUGGGACAGAUUUAGUGUUUUCCUAUUAUUUAGUGAUGGUUCAGUUUACAUUCUUUGCCCAAUUGUUCCAUUUGGAAGUGUCCACAAAUGGGAAUCUGUGUUGGAGAUAUACAGUGAUGCUGAAACAUUUGGACUGAAAUCAGCAAAUCCAGUUGCUGUAAAUAACUCAAAUCGGGCAAUCUCUUGGCUCGAAGCAACAUUUCCCGAGUUAGCCCAUGAAUCAAAGGAGGGGGGGUUAUCAACACUAAAAGCUCAUCCUUAUGCUGUAUUUGAUGCAUCACUUUGUUUGCAGGGCCCUCUACGCAAAGUACAUCAUGGUGGGGAAGAUGAAGACCCAGCAGUCAGUGUUGCAGAAUGCGAAGGUCGUGCAAUCAGUUUUCUCUAUGAUUUAGCCAGCAAAGACUCAAUUCUGGUGACUGCCUGGAGUGGUGGGCAGAUGCAAAUAGACGCCCUAGCUGAUGAAAUCCAGCCAGUCUGGAUGGUUGGUAGUCCACCUCGUCUUCGUGUUAAUUCCCAAGACCAUAUUAUCGGUCUUGCAAUGCUUUGUGAGUCUAUCUCAGGUGAGCUUCCUGUUGCGAAGCUUGAUCAACCACAUGAUAAUACUGUCUGGUUAGGUCAUCCACCACCUUUGUUGAGACUUGCAAUUGUGGAUUUGGCCUUACCAAGGAAAACAGAAAGUGGGUCAUAUAUUUCAAUGUUUGUUGACCCCGUUAUGCCUGAAAGAAUAUAUUCUGUUCAUGAUGGAGGGAUAGACUCAAUUGUUCUGCAUUUUCUUCCAUUUACUAGUCAGUCUGGUGGCAAGGAUGAGAUGGUCCGGACCCCCUCUGUGCAUCCUGUCCUUAGCACAUGCCAGGUGGAGAACUCCACACCUUCUCCUCUUUGUGGCUUUAUAGCAUUGUCAGAUUCAUUUGGGUACUCGUGGAUUGCAGUGAUUACUUCCAAUCAAGAAUGUGUUGUGCUAGAAAUGAGAACAUUAAAUUUAUUGUUACCUGUACAUGUUGACAUGGAGAAGAAAUCUGAAACUGCAGAAGAAUGGACAAAUAGAAAUCCUCCAGACAUCAUAAGCAAAGAACUACUUAUUGGUCCUAAGGUGGUUCUUGUUCCUCAGGGUUCACCAAAUCUUCGAUCUGUUGCUGCUGAUUCUAUUGAAGGCCGGUCAACUCUUCACCAGUACCUAAACCUUUUCCAUGAAAACUAUGUCGAGUAUGCACAUAAGGUCUACUUUGAACUGGAGCAUCAUGGCCCCCGGUUGAAGAGAAUCAUUGAUGAUCAGCAUGCUCGAUUAGGUGAAGCACAGGAGAAGCUUUCAAAAGUGAGGAAGAAGCAGUCAGGAUUGGAGGACAGGAUUAAUAAUGCAAUGCACCAACACAAUCUUCUGGAACAGCGCUUGCAUUGCUUGAAGAACUUGCCUGGGGCUCAUAAGAAGCCUUUGUCUAAAGCAGAACGUGAAUUUAAGUCUGAGCUUGACCAUUUUACAGGAGUUGAAUUGGAUGCUUUGCGUACUUCCAUUGAUACCUUAAGAGCAAGGCUGAGAAGGUUCACCCAAUCUUCGAAAGGUGAUGUAGCAAAUCAGCAAAUGAAAAUAGGGGGGAGGAAUUAUGCUCUAGAUGCCCAAAUAUCGCAGCUGAAAUCCUCAAUUGCGAAACUCUCGCUUCUCAAUAGUGAGAAUACAAAGAAAGUUAAGCUUGUUGAAUCCGUGUUAAAAAAUCAGGAAAGCAGUAGAUGAUGGGUUUCUCAGCCUCAAAUAUGAAGCCCACCUAAAGUUGGUGAUCUUUUUCAGCACCCCCACCCUUAGUGGCCCAUGCUUUGGUCAAGAACUUUUGCAUUUUGCAGUAAAGCACAUUCAGAGGGAACUUUGUACCUGUAUCUUUGAAUUGAAAUUUUGCAUAUCUGUUAUGCUAAAAAUCAUGGGAUUUUCAAGAUGGGCGCCGCAUGUUCAGCCUAAAGCAAUCGUAUUGAUUGCUUCUUGUCCUCGUUCAAAAUCUGGUUGUAGUAUCGAAUAAAAUUAUCCGCCCAUAGCAUUUUUUCGGCCGUCCAGUGAAGAAAUGAUUGAGUUCAUGAUCUGGGUCCAACAUAAAGAGAAAUCAGGACUCGAGGGGCUCGAGGAGAAGAUGCUGCACCUACAAAACGCAUAAAUUGCUCGAUCAUAAUAUUUAGUAGGCUUUUAGUUUAUUUUGUACUUUGACCGAAUCCACGACGAGCAAAUUCAAAUACUGUCUACAUGGUUGAAUAAUCCAAUUCCUAUUUUUAUUUAUUUUA